UGAUGCUUUUUCGCUCGAGCAGUAUAGCCCAGAGUGGCGAAUUCAGAGCCGGAUACUUCAGUGAGUGACGUAGUGGCUGGUCGAUGCGACGCUUGCGCCGUCGACGGCAGCGUCAUGUAGUUAAUGACAACCAUACCAUCACAGACCGUCUUCUUUCACCCCGCUUACUGUUUUAUUUUAUUUCGCCCGCACUUUCAUUAUAUUACACAGUUGAUAGACACAUAUGUUUUUUUAUAUCAAUUACUGUCAUUAUCUUGUUAUUUAUAAUUGUAGUCAUUCCAUUUGAGGAUUAAUGUUUGGGUAAUUAUUUUGCUUUUACUGAGAGGACCGGGAACUUGCAAUUUCAUUUCGUAUUCAUGUAUACGUUCACAUUUCAUAUGCAUGGAAAUCUUGGAAAUUAUCGUUAAUUAGUAUGUUAUGUUUACUUAUACGAAAAGAUAUUGAAUUUUCCACAAGAAUAAACCUUACAAAUUAGUCAACCACCGCAGGGCUUGUGAUCACCUCGCAAAUACGACCUAUGCCAACAGGAUGUGUGUUUGUUUAGAGAACUAUUAUCUCGACGACAAUCACUGCUACAAGAUCCCCUUAGGUCCCAAUGAUCCAGUUGAUUCUGCCAAAGGUUGCACUUACCUCAUUGGUACCUUUUUCGACGGAGGACACUGCAAAACCAAUAGAUCUAUAACUUUCGAAACAGUUGAAGAUUACGAACCUCCAAUGUACGACCACUUUGAUAAUUUUAGUUGCCCACCAGAGUUUUUCCAGUACAAUAAUUUCUGUUACGGAUUUUUGGAUGCGAAUUGUUCAGCUCCAUCAGACUGUCUCUCUACAUCCUACUCAUGCCAAUCAGGCACUUGUAAAAAAGUAGAUAGCCAAAUUG